AGGGAAUCUUCGGCAAUGGGGGCAACCCUGACCGAGCAACGCCGCGUGAGUGAAGAAGGUUUUCGGAUCGUAAAGCUCUGUUGUAAGAGAAGAACGUGUGUGAGAGUGGAAAGUUCACACAGUGACGGUAACUUACCAGAAAGGGACGGCUAACUACGUGCCAGCAGCCGCGGUAAUACGUAGGUCCCGAGCGUUGUCCGGAUUUAUUGGGCGUAAAGCGAGCGCAGGCGGUUUAAUAAGUCUGAAGUUAAAGGCAGUGGCUUAACCAUUGUUCGCUUUGGAAACUGUUAAACUUGAGUGCAGAAGGGGAGAGUGGAAUUCCAUGUGUAGCGGUGAAAUGCGUAGAUAUAUGGAGGAACACCGGUGGCGAAAGCGGCUCUCUGGUCUGUAACUGACGCUGAGGCUCGAAAGCGUGGGGAGCAAAC
rnacentral:rRNA from 1 species